rnacentral:rRNA from 1 species
UACGUAGGGACCAAGCGUUGUCCGGAAUCAUUGGGCGUAAAGAGCGUGUAGGCGGCUUGUUAAGUCUUGCGUGAAAUCUCGGGGCUCAACCCCGAGCGGUCGUGAGAAACUGGCAGGCUAGAGUGCGGGAGAGGAGAGUGGAAUUCCUGGUGUAGCGGUGAAAUGCGCAGAUAUCAGGAAGAACACCCGUGGCGAAGGCGGCUCUCUGGAACGGUACUGACGCUGAGACGCAAAAGCGUGGGGAGCGAACAGG